UACGUAGGCAGCAAGCGUUGUUCGGAGUUACUGGGCGUAAAGGGUGCGUAGGCGGCUUGGUAAGUGUGGUGUGAAAUCUCCCGGCUCAACUGGGAGGGUGCGCUACAAACUGCCGGGCUAGAGUCCGGAAGAGGUAAGUGGAACUCCUAGUGUAGAGGUGGAAUUCGUAGAUAUUAGGAAGAACACCAGUGGCGAAGGCGGCUUACUGGUCCGGAACUAGACGCUGAGGCGCGAAAGCGUGGGGAGCAAACAGG
rnacentral:rRNA from 1 species